CAAUCGAGAGUUGUGUCCGUGGUCGAGACACAAACACGACUCUCAACUUGUGCGUGCCUUCACCAAUGAGACUAUCUUGAUGCUGGCGGCCGAAAACUUGCGCCACUGCAUCCAUCCCCAGUAAAUUGUACCCUCACUACUAAUACGCUCCUUCCUCUGAUUUUUUACUCUUUAAAUAGGAGAAGAAAACAUGGAGAAAGAGUGUCUAUAUAGCCAAAAUAUGCGCAGAGCGAUGCUUUUUUCCGCCAGAUUCUUUCAUUUCGUGCAAAACCGCGUUAAAUGAGCCUACGUUCAUCGAUUUUGGAGUUUUAGGAAACAUAUAUAAAGCCAACACAUACUAUUCAUGGAGUUUAUCAAAAUUUAUCAUUCUUUAGCAUAUUUUUCCAUGAGUAAGAUUGUUAAGGCUAUAGAUCGUCGAGAGAGAUACACCGUCGCUGUAAGAUUUGCAGUAACGCGCACUAACGACCGGCAGCAAGUUUCAGUACCUAGUGAAUGAAUCUGUAUUGUAUCUGUACUCGUACUAUGACAAUCGAAUUAAAUGUGAAUGCGAAAUAA